rnacentral:lncRNA from 1 species
AGUGAGAGAUUCAACUAGAACAAUUAACAGCUGGCACAUCUUCAAACCAGGUUGCUGUUGUACCAAACAUUUUUAGAUAUAUCCUGUUAGAGAUGCCUUCAGAAUUUUUAAAAUGUUUUCAAAAAGGGCAAUAUUUUCAACUUGGAGCUUGAAGUUGGCUUUCAGAGGCACUUUGAGUCCAGGAGCCUGCAGGCCCCACCUGUCUGCUGGGGAGAGACAAUCUCAUAAAACUGCCAAUACUAUGAUUUAGCUGAAUACAUGUUUGUUAAUAAA